UUGCACUUGUUUUGAGCAGCAGGAAAAAUGUGACUUCACACAUCCCACACCACAGGACAAUCGCCACGGAUCAUCUUUUAUUUAAUUGGGCCUUUGAGGACAUUGACGGGAGACGGGGAUCUGGGCUAAAAACCCUUUUGAUUACCGAGGUUUGACUGUCGGGGAAGGCAUCAUCUUCAUCAUCAUCAUCAUCAUCAUCAUCAUCAUCAUCACCAUGAUGAAGUGUGAAGAUGAGCCGAGGAGGCGACAAAGAGGAGGUCUCACUCGGGUGACCCUCGGCGUGCCAAGCGUCAACGGCGCCGCAGACAGGAAAUGAAAGAAAAGAAAAGAAGAGAAGAUGCGUCGCCUUGCCACCUCCCCGGCUCCUUCAAUCCAUUGUCCUCCUCACCAUACCAAUCAUCCACAUUGUGUUCACAGGCAACAAAUGAAACUGAUCUCAGA